AUGAGUGAGGGAAGACACCCAGAGGCCUGCCCACAGUCAUGCCAUGUGGCACAGGCAGGUAGAUGCCCACCUUCUGCCACAUCAAGAGGGGGGUUCAAGGUUUGAUUGGAGGAGAACACUUCUGCCCAUGGCAGGAGCCACCACCAUGUGCAAGUAUGUGGAGGAAAGAUGGGAGAGAAAGAUAAUGGAACAGUUGAGCAUUAUGAAAGAGAAGUGGAACUGGGGACUCAAGGGUGAAGAGGAAUAGCCUGACGCCCAGACCCAUGGCUUUGAGUUGGCCUACCCCAACAUCUACUUCAUCUGUGAAUUGCUGGAAUAUGUGAAGGGGCCAGUCCUAUAGAUUCAAAGCUACAGGAUCUUACCACCACCAUCACCCCCAACCCCACCAAUGGGAAGUAAGUGUGAGAGGAGCCCCAGUGAGGAUCCAGUGUUGAUGGUGUGGCAGAAGCCAGAGGCCAAUGGCUCAUCGCAAUAAACACUUUCAAGUAAAGAUGAGUGGUCAAAACACUAUACUGUGGGACACACUGACUACAGCUUCUGUCAUGAGAUGUCUUUUAUGCUUUGUUUUGUUUAUUUUGCUUUUUAAAAUUUUCUUUUGGGGGUAGUUGUGACUCUCCUCCAACUGAGGGCUGGUUCUGUCAGACCCUGCCUUGCUACAAAUAACCACACCUUUCUCUAAGUUCCUACAAAUAGCCAAGCCUCUCUCCAACCUCCUGCUAAUAGCCACACCUCUCUCCAAGUUCCUGUUAUGCCAGAAGUCCCACCUCCAGAGACUGAAGAUAAAGCUGAUGAUUGAGCCAAGAGUUGCUGACGGACUUGGGGGAGGAGUUUUGCUCUACCUACCUACCUGCUUGUAACAAGGAGAGUUUAAUAAUGAUGGUGGACUGAAAG